rnacentral:lncRNA from 12 species
UACUUGUGUCUCACCCAGGAAACAUCUACAGCAAGCUACUCCUUAGACCUUCCAAUCUUCAGCCAAAGCCUCAGAGAUAGAGCCCACGAACGAGGUGGGGGGAAAGGGAGAGAGAAGGAAAGAAUCAUCCAAGAUCAUGACCUCAGUGAGCAGAAAUCAAAUCAAGAGUUGGAUGCUUAAUCGACUGAGCCACCCAGGCACCCCAACUUUUCUUUUCUUUUAAUUCCAGUGUAAUUAACUAAAAAAAAAAAUUUCUAAUCACAGUUACCAGUUUCAUUUAAUUUGAAGAUAAUAUUUGCUAACAAUAGCUUAAUGCUAAUGGUGCAUUUAUAAACAGUAUGACAACAUGUUUUCAGAGUGUUCUACUUUGACCUCUUUCUCUCUCUCUCUCUUUUUUUUUUUUUCCACUGUAAAUUAGCAAAGUUAUUUAAGAUAUUUCUGUUUAGGAGUUAUUCCAGUAGGACAUUUCAAAUGAGCAC